rnacentral:rRNA from 1 species
AGAGUUUGAUCCUGGCUCAGGACGAACGCUGGCGGCGUGCUUAACACAUGCAACUCCAACGAAGAGCGAUGGAAGCUUGCUUCUAUCAAUCUUACUGGGGAACGGGUGAGUAACGCGUAAUCAACCUGCCCUUCAUAGGGGGACAACUGUUGGAAACGACUGCUAAUACCGCAUACGAUCUAAUCUCGGCAUCGAGGAUAGAUGAAAGGUGGCCUCUACAUGUAAGCUAUCACUGAAGGAGGGGAUUGCGUCUGAUUAGCUAGUUGGAGAGGUAACGGCUCCCCAAGGCGACGAUAGAUAGGGGUUCUGAGAGGGAUGUCCCCCACACUGGUACUGAGAUACGGACCAGACUCCUACGGGAGGCAGCAGUGAGGAAUAUUGGACAAUGGUCGGAAGACUGAUCCAGCCAUGCCGCGUGCAGGAUGAAGGUCUUAUGGAUUGUAAACUGCUUUUGUAAGGGAAGAAUAAGGGCUACACGUAGUUUGAUGACGGUACCUUAUGAAUAAGCAUCGGCUAACUCCGUGCCAGCAGCCGGCGGUAAUACGGAGGAUGCGAGGCGUUAUCCGGAAUCAUUGGGUUUAAAGGGUCUGUAGGCGGGCUAAUAAGUCAGAGGUGAAAGCGCUCAGCUCAACUGAGCAACUGCCUUUGAAACUGUUAGUCUUGAAUAGUUGUGAAGUAGUUGGAAUGUGUAGUGUAGCGGUGAAAUGCUUAGAGAUUACACAGAACACCCGAUAGCGAAUGCAUAUUACUAACAAUUGAUUGACGCUGAUGGACGAAAGCGUGUGGAGCGUACAGGAUUAGAUACCCUGGUUAGUCCUCGCUGUAUGCGAUGGAUACUAGCUGUUUGGUUGUAAGGCUGAGUGGCUAAGCGAGAAGUGGAUAGGUAUCCCACCUGGGGAGUACGUCCGCGAGAAUGAAACUCAAAGGAAUUGACGGGGGCCCGCACAAGCGGUGGAGCAUGUGGUUUAAUUCGAUGAUACGCGAGGAACCUUACCAAGGUUUAAAUGGAGACUGACAGGGGUAGAGAUACCUUUUUCUUCGGACAGUUUUCAAGGUGCUGCAUGGUUGUCGUCAGCUCGUGCCGUGAGGUGUCAGGUUAAGUCCUAUAACGAGCGCAACCCCUGCCAUUAGUUGGUAACGAGUCGAGUCGAGCCCUUUAACGGGACUGCCGGUGCAAACCGUGAGGAAGGUGGGGAAGACGCCAAAUCAUCACGCCCCUUACAUGUUGGGCUACACAUGUGCUCCAAUGUCCGUUACAGAGAGCAGCCAUUGCGUGAGCAGGCCAGAAUUUAUAACGACGAUCACAGUUCGGAUCGGAGUAUGCAACUCCACUCCGUGAAGCUGGAAUCGCUAGUAAUCGGAUAUCAGCCAUGAUCCGGUGAAUACGUUCCCGGGCCUUGUACACCCCCCCCGUCAAACCAUGGAAGCUGGGGGUACCUGAAGACGGUCCCCGCGAGGAGCUGUUUAGGGUAAAACUAGUGACUGGGUCUAAGUCGUAACAAGGUAUCC